rnacentral:rRNA from 1 species
GACGAACGCUGGCGGUGUGCUUAACACAUGCAAGUCGAACGGUAAGGCCCUUUCGGGGGUACACGAGUGGCGAACGGGUGAGUAACACGGGAGUAACCUGCCCUCAUCUCUGGGAUAACAGUCGGAAACGGUUGCUAAUACUGGAUAUGAGCUUGCAAGGCAUCUUGUGGGUUGGAAAGAUUUUUUUUGGUUGGGGAUGGACUCGCGGCCUAUCAGCUUGUUGUGGAGGUAGUGGCUCACCAAGGCUUCGACGGGUAGCCGGCCGGAGUGGGCGACCGGCCACAUUGGGACUGAGAUACGGCCCAAACUCCUACGGGAGGCAGCAGUGGGGAAUAUUGCACAAUGGACGGAAGUCUGAUGCAGCAACGCCGCGUGCGGGAUGACGGCCUUCGGGUUGUAAACCGCUUUCAAUUGUGACGAAGCUUUUUUGUGACGGUAGCAGUAGAAGAAGCACCGGCUAACUACGUG